rnacentral:rRNA from 1 species
GUUAGCGGCGGACGGGUGAGUAACGCGUGGAUAACCUACCUAUAAGACUGGGAUAACUUCGGGAAACCGGAGCUAAUACCGGAUAAUAUUUUGAACCGCAUGGUUCAAAAGUGAAAGACGGUCUUGCUGUCACUUAUAGAUGGAUCCGCGCUGCAUUAGCUAGUUGGUAAGGUAACGGCUUACCAAGGCAACGAUGCAUAGCCGACCUGAGAGGGUGAUCGGCCACACUGGAACUGAGACACGGUCCAGACUCCUACGGGAGGCAGCAGUAGGGAAUCUUCCGCAAUGGGCGAAAGCCUGACGGAGCAACGCCGCGUGAGUGAUGAAGGUCUUCGGAUCGUAAAACUCUGUUAUUAGGGAAGAACAUAUGUGUAAGUAACUGUGCACAUCUUGACGGUACCUAAUCAGAAAGCCACGGCUAACUACGUGCCAGCAGCCGCGGUAAUACGUAGGUGGCAAGCGUUAUCCGGAAUUAUUGGGCGUAAAGCGCGCGUAGGCGGUUUUUUAAGUCCGAUGUGAAAGCCCACGGCUCAACCGUGGAGGGUCAUUGGAAACUGGAAAACUUGAGUGCAGAAGAGGAAAGUGGAAUUCCAUGUGUAGCGGUGAAAUGCGCAGAGAUAUGGAGGAACACCAGUGGCGAAGGCGACUUUCUGGUCUGUAACUGACGCUGAUGUGCGAAAGCGUGGGGAUCAAACA